GAUGAACGCUGGCGGCGUGCCUAAUACAUGCAAGUCGAGCGAACAGACGAGGAGCUUGCUCCUCUGACGUUAGCGGCGGACGGGUGAGUAACACGUGGAUAACCUACCUAUAAGACUGGGAUAACUUCGGGAAACCGUGGCUAAUACCGGAUAAUAUAUUGAACCGCAUGGUUCAAUAGUUAAAGAAGGUUUUGCUGUCACUUAUAGAUGGCUCCGCGCCGCAUUAGCUAGUUGGUGAGGUAACGGCUUACCAACGCAACGAUGCGUAGCCGCCCUGAGAGGGUGAUCGGCCACACUGGAACUGAGACACGGUCCAGACUCCUACGGGAGGCAGCAGUAGGGAAUCUUCCGCAAUGGGCGAAAGCCUGACGGAGCAACGUCGCGUGAGUGAUGAAGGUCUUCGGAUCGUAAAACGCUGUUAUUAGGGAAGAACAAAUGUGUAAGUAACUAUGCACGUCUUGACGGUACCUAAUCAGAAAGCCACGGCUAACUACGUG
rnacentral:rRNA from 1 species